rnacentral:rRNA from 1 species
GACGAACGCUGGCGGCGUGCUUAACACAUGCAAGUCGAACGGAAAGGCCUGCUUUCCCUUGUGGAUUGCGGGUACUCGAGUGGCGAACGGGUGAGUAACACGUGAGUGAUCUGCCCCCAACUUGGGUAUAAGCCUGGGAAACUGGGUCUAAUUCCCGAUAGGACUGCAGGGUGGUGCCUGUGGUGGAAAACGAUUUUCUAGUGGUUGGGGAUGAGCUCGCGGCCUAUCAGCUUGUUGGUGGGGUAAUGGCCUACCAAGGCGGCGACGGGUAGCCGGCCUGAGAGGGUGGACGGGCACAUUGAGACUGAGAUACGGCCCAGACUCCUACGGGAGGCAGCAGUGGGGAAUAUUGCACAAUGGGCGGAAGCCUGAUGCAGCGACGCCGCGUGGGGGAUGACGGCCUUCGGGUUGUAAACUCCUUUCGACCGCGAGGAAGCCACCUGGUUGGAAGGGUGGUGACGGUAGUGGUAGAAGAAGCACCGGCUAACUACGUG